UAUAGUUAGUAACAAGGCAUAAUUUCUGUUAUAAUGUUGUCUUUUUACAAGUAUUCCGCAUUGAAACUAACGUGAAUAGAGCAAAUUAUGAUUGGUUCAAUCAGCAUUGUUCUUUGUAACAGCUAGGAAAGGAGUUUGCAAUAAUAGAAAAAACUAUACAUACACAUAUACAUAUGUGUUGUCAGAUUGACUUUCAUUAGUUCUGACAGUUCUCUAAAUUAAGACGCAGUUUGCUAACAUAAUGUGGCUUUGAUAUGAGUAAGUGACAGACUGACAGGUAAUGCAUAUAAGCAUUCAACAUCGUUUUAAACUUUCGAUUUCUUGUGUUGACUUUGUAAUAUCGAUGAUGGAAUCGUGUCUUAUUUGACGUCGAGGUUUCCUUGGAAUCUUUUUUCCUUGGAAUCUUUUUUCCUGAAGUUGAUAUCGCAUAGUAUAUAUAUGAUUGCAUUGUAGUUUCCUUGUAUUCGAUUGUCAGUGGCUGGCGUUGUAUAGCAGGUAUAAUCGAUGUUUUGAUGCAACGUUGUUCCAACCGAGGUUCCAACCAGCGAAAGGCAGUUGUUUAGUUUUAAACUUUAAAGAGUACAAUACAAAUUUCUUCAUCGAUCUCCGUGAUUUUAUCU